UGUGCUGGUCUCCGUCAUUUGGUGCCGAAACCCAGGAAUCUCGGACUCCAAAUGACAAAGGCGUCGCUUCCUCCCACGAGCCGCGGUUGUAGCCUCAGACUUGUCUGGUGAAAAACUCUCUCAUGUAUGCAACCAUCUUUUGCAUUGUUUUAGCGUUAUGGGAACACCGAAAUCAUUAAAAACCGGUAACAGGCCAGCUUAUGUAAGUAGCAGUUUUGCAACCUUUUGUAGACAUUUUAAAAUUCACCAUAAAACUGGAAUUCCAUAUAAUCCAGAAGGCCAAGGCAUAGUAGAAAAAUUUAAUCAUUUAUUGAAAACUCAAUUAAAGAAAAUAAAAAGGGGGACAUGAGGAAUUAAAGAUACUCCGUCCUCUAUGUUAUCACAUGCAUUAUUUGUUUUAAAUUUUUUGACACUGGAUGAUGACAGAAAAUCGGCUGCGGAUAGACAUUGGAGUAAUAAAACAAGAAAUAAACCAAUAGCAUAUUGGAGAAAUCCAAUGGACGGUAGAAUUUAUGGUCCUGAUCCUGUACUAAUUUGGAGCAGAGGAUAUGUUUGUGUUUUCCCUACA